AUUGAACGCUGGCGGCAUGCCUUACACAUGCAAGUCGAACGGUAACAGGUCUUCGGAUGCUGACGAGUGGCGAACGGGUGAGUAAUGCAUCGGAACGUGCCCAGUAGUGGGGGAUAGCCCGGCGAAAGCCGGAUUAAUACCGCAUACGACCUGAGGGUGAAAGGGGGGGAUCGCAAGAUCUCCCGCUUUUGGAGCGGCCGAUGUCAGAUUAGCUAGUUGGUGGGGUAAAGGCCUACCAAGGCAACGAUCUGUAGUUGGUCUGAGAGGACGACCAGCCACACUGGGACUGAGACACGGCCCAGACUCCUACGGGAGGCAGCAGUGGGGAAUUUUGAACAAUGGGCGCAAGCCUGAUCCAGCAAUGCCGCGUGCAGGAAGAAGGCCUUCGGGUUGUAAACUGCUUUUGUCAGGGAAGAAAUCUUCUGGGUUAAUACCUCGGGAGGAUGACGGUACCUGAAGAAUAAGCACCGGCUAACUACGUGCCAGCAGCCGCCGUAAGAC
rnacentral:rRNA from 1 species